GAUGAACGCUAGCGGCAGGCUUAAUACAUGCAAGUCGAGGGACAGCACAGGUAGCAAUACUGGGUGGUGACCGGCAAACGGGUGCGGAACACGUACACAACCUUCCUUUAAGGGGGGGAUAGCCCAGAGAAAUAUGGAUUAAUACCCCGUCAUAUAGUUGAAUGGCAUCAUUUGAUUAUUAUAGCUACGGCGCUUAAUGAUGGGUGUGCGGCUGAUUAGAUAGUUGGCGGGGUAACGGCCCACCAAGUCUACGAUCAGGAGCUGAUGUGAGAGCAUGAUCAGCCACACAGGCACUGAGACACGGGCCCGGCUCCUACGGGAGGCAGCAGUAAGGAAUAUUGGUCAAUGGACGCAAGUCUGAACCAGCCAUGCCGCGUGAAGGAUUAAGGUCCUCUGGAUUGUAAACUUCUUUUAUUUGGGACGAAAAAGGGCCUUUCUAGGUCAACUGACGGUACCAGAUGAAUAAGCACCGGCUAACUCCGUGCCAGCAGCCGCAGUAAAAC
rnacentral:rRNA from 1 species